CCUUCCCCCCCUCUCCCGGCUCCGCAGCCAGCCGCCAAGGUAGGACAGGUAGAGCCCCCUCCCCCUCGCAUGUGGGGCUCGCCGGGCAGAGAGCGGCCGGGCCGGGCGCGCACAGGUAACUUUCCGAGCGGCGCUGGAUUCUUUCACUAAAGGCGCGGGGCAGAGGGACGAGCUGCCAGCUGAUUGGGCGGCGCGGCCCGGCAGGUGCGCUGCCAUUGGAAGAGGCGCGCACAGGUAAGGCUGCCGAGCUCCAGGUCUGCUGGGAUCCCUUUAGCAGCCUCAAGCUCUCAGGUGCCUCCACAUCUUGUACGACUGCAGCAGUUCAGCCAUGUGGAGGACCAUGGAAUAUCAAGUAUUUCCUGGCCACAGGGCCAUCACCUCUGGCAGCUGGGACACUCAACACAACAUGUAGGGUGAAGCUGUGGUGAGACUGAAUCAUGUUAUGGAGGCAGAAGCAUCAACAGAUCAUGUCAUUUGCUGUGAGGACAUGUAGGUGCUAUGGGCCCUCACCCCAAAGUACUUAGAGUCCAAGCCGGAGAGCUUGUAACGAGGAGGGGCACAGUAAAGCAGGGACAUCUGUGGUAUUUUGAAUGGUGGGAUUUAUAGCUGUAGUUUUUCAAUAAAGCCCAUUUUUUCUUUUAUUGCA